UGUUAAAUCUUCAGGCUGAGACUGAAGAACUAGCUCAUAAAGUCGAUUCACUGACUGCGGAGAACGUCGCUAUUAGAUCUGAAAUAAGUAGAUUGUCGGAGAAUUCCGAGAAACUUAAGCAAGAAAACGCUACAUUGAUGGAGAAGCUUAAAAGCGCUCAAUCAGGUCGAACAGAAGCAUUAGACAUGAACGAAAAAAGGACAAAACAUCUUGUAAGCACAGACAUCAAAGGACCUGUGAACAAAAGCAUCAACGAAGAGAGUAACAUCUGCAAGAAGAAAUCGAGUUCGGGAGCAAAGUUGCGUCAACUCUUGGACACGAAUCCAAGGGCCGACUGCGUUGCCGCCAGCUAAAAGAACAAGUUUAGGUGCAGUUUCUUUUUCAUGUGGUUUUGGCAUAUUACAAGCCCAAAAUUACUGCUAACAAAAAUUACUAAGAAUGAAAACAGCUGAAUAGGAUGUGUCUGUGAGAAAGGGCAGACUCUAAUUUUAAUGGUUAGUUUGUUGAAUAGUUGUAUGAUUAUGUGUAACUAUAAUGAGUAUUGGGGUUGGCAACUGUUGGAGAUUUUUUAGAAUUUUAGCUUUAGAUCUCUAUGCGCACCUCGUACCAGAUGAUAUCUCAUCAUUUGGUGGGUAGAGGUUGAGCCCUUUUAUGAAUUGUCAAUGAAAAAUUGCAUCUAUUUUUGGUUGCUGCUUUGUAUGAAUGAAUUUAGGCUG